GCCAUAUGACUUUCCUAACUACCAAGAGGCCGUGUACGGCUUCGUCUUGACAUCCUAGACGAACCAAGAUGUUCCGUGUGGUUAGGAGCUCAUAUUAAAACAAUUUGUCCCGCAGGACGCAUAGACCCAUGCGAUCCCCUUCCCGUGGAACGCUCUUACAUGAGAACACACGGACCUGCUGAUCACAUCGUGUUCCCAUGAGCAUAAAAUGUGUGGUGUAAUGUCA